rnacentral:rRNA from 1 species
GAGUUUGAUCCUGGCUCAGAACGAACGCUGGUGGCGUGCUUAACACAUGCAAGUCGAACGUGAUCCAGAGCUUGCUCUGGUGAAAGUGGCGCACGGGUGAGUAACGCGUGGAUAACCUGCCCUGGUAUCUGGGAUAACAUCUCGAAAGGGGUGCUAAUACCGGAUAAGCCUACGGACUCCUCGGAGUCUGCAGGAAAAGGAGGCCUCUAUUUAUAAGCUWCCGUAUCAGGAUGGGUCCGCGUACCAUUAGCUAGUUGGUGGGGUAAUGGCCUACCAAGGCGACGAUGGUUAGCUGGUCUGAGAGGAUGAUCAGCCACACUGGAACUGAGACACGGUCCAGACUCCUACGGGAGGCAGCAGUGGGGAAUUUUGCGCAAUGGGGGAAACCCUGACGCAGCAACGCCGCGUGAGUGAUGAAGGCUUUCGGGUCGUAAAGCUCUGUCAGAGGGGAAGAAAUGUGGGUGGCUAAUAUCCAUACCACUUGACGGUACCCUCAAAGGAAGCACCGGCUAACUCCGUGCCAGCAGCCGCGGUAAUAC